rnacentral:piRNA from 1 species
CCUUUUGGAGGGAAGAGAACACUGCU